CCUACGGGUGGCAGCAGUGAGGAAUAUUGGUCAAUGGGCGGGAGCCUGAACCAGCCAAGUCGCGUGAGGGAAGACGGUCCUAUGGAUUGUAAACCUCUUUAGGCGGGGAGCAAAGCCGGGCACGUGUGCCCGGAGGGAGAGGACCCGCAGAAUAAGCAGCGGCGAACUCCGGGCCAGCAGCCGCGGUAAUACGGAGGAUGCGAGCGUUAGCCGGAUUUAUUGGGUUGAAAGGGGGCGUAGGCGGAUUUUGAAGUCAGCGGUAAAAUGUCCGGGCUCCACCCGGGCCGGCCGUUGAAACUGGGGAUCUUGAGUGGGCGAGCAGUAUGCGGAAUGCGUGGUGUAGCGGU
rnacentral:rRNA from 1 species